GAGUUUGAUCAUGGCUCAGAGUGAACGCUGGCGGUAGGCCUAACACAUGCAAGUCGAACGGCAGCACAGUAAGAGCUUGCUCUUAUGGGUGGCGAGUGGCGGACGGGUGAGGAAUACAUCGGAAUCUACUUUUUCGUGGGGGAUAACGUAGGGAAACUUACGCUAAUACCGCAUACGACCUACGGGUGAAAGCAGGGGAUCUUCGGACCUUGCGCGAUUGAAUGAGCCGAUGUCGGAUUAGCUAGUUGGCGGGUAAAGGCCCACCAAGGCGACGAUCCGUAGCUGGUCUGAGAGGAUGAUCAGCCACACUGGAACUGAGACACGGUCCAGACUCCUACGGGAGGCAGCAGUGGGGAAUAUUGGACAAUGGGCGCAAGCCUGAUCCAGCCAUACCGCGUGGGUGAAGAAGGCCUCGG
rnacentral:rRNA from 1 species